ensembl:lncRNA
GGAUGGCAGAUGUAGUACCGUCGAAACAUUUUAUGUUCAUUACUCUAGCAAUUAACCAGAUAUUAAAGUCAUGCUACCAACUUGACCUAAUACGAAUUAGUUGUAGACACUGAACGAGUCCAUACAAAAUGCGGUGAGACACAAAAUCUAAGAUUGUAGUGUUGUUGCAGGUGAAUGAAAUCCUGUCUCGAUCCACUGUGUGGAGUGCCUUCAAAGAUCAAAAACAUGAUCUCUUCAUCUCGGAAUCGCAGACUGCAGGCUUUCUGACAGGUGUUUCCACUCCUUCUCUUCUGGCUGCCAGUAGUCCAUUGCGGAGCGGCCUCUAGUGGGCUUUUCCCAUGCUCUUCUCUUUAACUUUUACACAGGUCCGGCAGUUGCAGGCUAUCUAACUGCUGGCACGGGUGCUACAGUUCUGUCCAGCGUCCCUCCACCCGUAGACAAUGACAUUGGAGACCUGGGCUAAAAACCAAACCUGCACUAACAGUUCAGUGAAUGCACCACUUUCAUAAGAGAAGCAGGCUUGAUGAGACAGACAGAUAAAUUACUUAAAGAAAGAGGAAAGGAUUGGGUGGAUUACAACCCUUGUGUAAACUUUCCUCUAAAUGUGUGCUGCUACGUCCUCCAUGUGUCCGUGGUGUUCCCUUUCAGCACACAGUUAUUAAUUAAUCUGCCUUUUUUUUUUUUUUUUUUUUUUUUAAAAUCUUUUUGCUCUUGUUCCUAGUGUAUUACAUUCGAUACCUUCAGUUUUGUUUUUUUUCCAAGAAGAGGUAAAUGUUUACUUUUGUAUGAGAAUAUUUUUUGCUGGAGGAAAAAAGACCCCUGAAGUGAAUACAACUUUAGAGAUCCAACCCUUACUUGAUUCCUUUCCCCUUCACUUCUGUCAUGCCCUCCAUGCUUUGUCUACACAAAGCUUCUAAUGACUUCUUAUUUUAACCAAAUCUUGGUUUAUCAUGCCAUACCACCAUUCACCUUGUGUUUUCUGUUGACCCUAAAAUGAAUGAAUUCUUGAUGAAGUUAAAGGAAAAAUUAAGAACUUCCUCUGUCACUUACAAUCACACCCCAUAGACUGAUCUGGCUUAAAUCUCCCCUUAUGUCUCAACAGACAGCCUGCUUUUUCUACCUUUUCUCACCCAGAAUGCAAAGAAAUCACUCAAAUAUUUAUAACUAGCCGUGUACUUAACUGAGGAAUGAUUUUCUGUAAACGUUCCCAGGAGAAAUGACACUGACUCUAAUUAAAAUCUAUGUCAAAGAUUAGUGCAGUUGUCAAACUGUCUAUAUAAUAUGAUACAUAAACUUUCUAUAUUGAAUGUACAAUCUAAAAAAUCAGUUACACUUGUACAUAACAUUUUAAGAAUAAAAGGGAAUCCACAGUGAUUUUGCUUAAUCGUUUUGUUAUUGUCUAAACAACAACUGAACUUUAAACUGAACUAUGAAAUACAUUUCUAGAAGUAUACAAACCCUGUCAAAAAUUAGGAAUCACCACUUAGAGGAUUCUCUACCUGCUGUUUUCCUUCGUCGCAAAUAAACAAAUCAGAUAUGACAAACAAUUUUUGUUUAAUGGCUGAACAGUCUGGCUUCAUGAAACUUACCUCAAACAAAUUAAAUUUAAUUAUUUUAAUUAAUGGCAUAUUUUUUUCCAGAUAAGUUUCAUUUAACUGAUUUGAUUUGUUUCUUGAAUCCAGAAUCUUCAACUAUCAAACAAAAAUGGUCAUAUCUGUGAUUUGUUUAUUUGCUACAAAGUAAACAGCCCUAUAAACAUCCUGUUUCUAAACAUAUUACCACUUCAGUAUCAGCAACAGCAUAUCAUUCAGAUAAAUAAGUAAAUUCAAUAAGGCUUAAUUCUGUCAAAAUCACAAUAAGCAAAGGGAAACAAUUUCUUUACAUUUUAUAGCACCUGAAGUAAUUAUUUUUAUAUUGAUCAGGAUCAAGUAUUUUUUUUAAGUGCAUUUAUUACUGAUAACUUCAGUAGUAUUUUGUCUAAAUGUAAAUAACAAAAUGAAAUAACUAUAGGAAAACUGAAAAUUUAUUUAUUUAAUAAAUGUUACUUCUAGUUCUGUAACUAACGAUUAUUUUUUUUUAAUCGAUUAAUCGGAUGGGGGCGGGGCAAACUUUCAAUACGUCCAAAACGGAAAAGAACCCAAUGCACACAUCAGAAUAUAUAUUUAGGACUGUAGUUUAAUUCUGUGCUUUUUGUGCAUCCAUAAAAAAGCAUAAAUACUUAUACAAUAUAAACUAAAAUAAAUUAACAGUUUAAUUGUAUGUGUGUGUACGUGUGUGUCACGAUACGAAGUGGAGUACGGAUGCAAGCGCGGAUUUUCAAACAUUUUAAUAACAAAUGAACAAAAUACAAAACACUCUACAACAAACACGGAACACAAAAACUAAACACGGCAGCAUAGACAGAAGCAUAAAACCUGUACAAAGGGGAAAAAAGAGAUCUAUGAUCAAUGUGUCCAGGUAUUGUACCUUUUGAGAACAGCGGUCCAAUAUUUAGCCUAGAAAACCAGUUAUGUGAGUGAGCACACAUUUCUUCCAGAAGUCUACAAAAUUCCAAAUGAAAGCAGAGUUCGGUACAACACCGGCAACGACGUGGUGACUUUCGGGCUCGAGCGUCGGCUCUGGCAAGCCCCGGAGUUAACGGUGCCAAGCCUAGAGAGAAUGAUCCUUACUACUUCAUUUGUUCCAAACACCGAUAUUCAUGAUCUUCUCCGGGGCCUUGCAGCUGAUCAACAAUGAAGUCAAUACCAGCUCACAAGUCGCCAUCGCUUCGCCGGGAGCUCUCAGUGUACGAUAUACGUGCUGCUUAAUUCGGUCCUACCUUUUGAACAGAAUGGCCGGUUAACGCCGGUAUAGUUACGUACACUCACUUUAUUAGACAAAACCACGUAGACCUACUCCGGGUACGUACACAGGAAGACUGAAC